rnacentral:lncRNA from 1 species
GUGUGUGUGUGUGUGUGUGUGUGUGUGCACAUGAGUGUGGCUUCUUACAGAGGCCAGAAGAGGUGUCAGACACCCUCGAGCUGUGGUUACAGGCAGUCAUGAGCCCCUAGUUUGGAUUCUGGGAACCAGAACCUAAGUCCCCUGCAAAGCAGAACCUAUGAUCUCUGAAGCACUGAGGCAUCUCUCUCUCUCCAGUCUACAACACUGAGGCGUCUCUCUCCAGUCCUACAACACUGAGGCAUCUCUCUCUCUCCAGUUCCUACAAAACUGAGGCAUCUCUCUCCAGUUCCUACAACACUGAGGCGUCUCUCUCCAUUCCUACAACACUGAG